rnacentral:rRNA from 1 species
UAGGGAAUCUUCGGCAAUGGGGGCAACCCUGACCGAGCAACGCCGCGUGAGUGAAGAAGGUUUUCGGAUCGUAAAGCUCUGUUGUAAGAGAAGAACGUGUGUGAGAGUGGAAAGUUCACACAGUGACGGUAACUUACCAGAAAGGGACGGCUAACUACGUGCCAGCAGCCGCGGUAAUACGUAGGUCCCGAGCGUUGUCCGGAUUUAUUGGGCGUAAAGCGAGCGCAGGCGGUUUAAUAAGUCUGAAGUUAAAGGCAGUGGCUUAACCAUUGUUCGCUUUGGAAACUGUUAAACUUGAGUGCAGAAGGGGAGAGUGGAAUUCCAUGUGUAGCGGUGAAAUGCGUAGAUAUAUGGAGGAACACCGGUGGCGAAAGCGGCUCUCUGGUCUGUAACUGACGCUGAGGCUCGUAAGCGUGGGGAGCAAACAGG